GAUGAACGCUGGCGGCGUGCCUAAUACAUGCAAGUCGAGCGAACAGACGAGGAGCUUGCUCCUCUGACGUUAGCGGCGGACGGGUGAGUAACACGUGGAUAACCUACCUAUAAGACUGGGAUAACUUCGGGAAACCGGAGCUAAUACCGGAUAAUAUAUUGGACCGCAUGGUUCAAUAGUGAAAGACGGUUUUGCUGUCACUUAUAGAUGGAUCCGCGCCGCAUUAGCUAGUUGGUAAGGUAACGGCUUACCAAGGCGACGAUGCGUAGCCGACCUGAGAGGGUGAUCGGCCACACUGGAACUGAGACACGGUCCAGACUCCUACGGGAGGCAGCAGUAGGGAAUCUUCCGCAAAGGGCGAAAGCCUGACGGAGCAACGCCGCGUGAGUGAUGAAGGUCUUCGGAUCGUAAAACUCUGUUAUUAGGGAAGAACAAAUGUGUAAGUAACUAUGCACGUCUUGACGGUACCUAAUCAGAAAGCCACGGCUAACUACGUG
rnacentral:rRNA from 1 species